rnacentral:rRNA from 1 species
UGGGGGAUAUUGCACAAUGGGCGAAAGCCUGAUGCAGCGACGCCGCGUGGGGGAUGAAGGCCUUCGGGUUGUAAACUUCUUUUGCUCUGAACAAGGCAUGCUUUUGGGGUGUGUUGAGUGUAGGGGUUGAUUAGCGCCGGCUAACUACGUGCCAGCAGCCGCGGUAAUACGUAGGGCGCGAGCGUUGUCCGGAAUUAUUGGGCGAAAAGGGCUUGUAGGUGGCUGGUUGCGUCUGUCGUGAAAGCUCAUGGCUUAACUGUGGGUUUGCGGUGGGUACGGGCUGGCUUGAGUGCAGUAGGGGAGGCUGGAAUUCCUGGUGUAGCGGUGGAAUGCGCAGAUAUCAGGAGGAAUACCGGUGGCGAAGGCGGGUCUCUGGGCUGUUACUGACGCUGAGGAGCGAAAGCGUGGGGAGCGAACAGG